rnacentral:rRNA from 1 species
ACUGUUGAGGUCUCUUCGGACAUCUGUUUGCAAGCAUACGUUCGGCCUUCACUGGUUGGCUAUGUAAGCAAACGUUUUACCUUGAGAAAAUUAGAGUGUUCCAGGCAGGCUUCAGCCGGAAUACAUUAGCAUGGAAUAAUGGAAUAGGACUGGGAACUAUUCAUGGUUUGAGGGCCCAGUAAUGAUUAAUAGGAACAGUCGGGGGCAUUAGUACUUUACAGUCAGAGGUGAAAUUCUUGGAUUUGUAAAAGACUAACUAAUGCGAAAGCAUUUGCCAAGCAUGUUUUCAUUAAUCAAGAACGAAAGUUAGGGGAUCAAAGACGAUUAGAUACCGUCCUAGUCUUAACUGUAAACGAUUCCAUCUUAGAAUUGGGUGAAGAUAAUAUGAUUCAUCCAGCGCUAUAAGAGAAAUCAAAGUCUUUGGGUUCUUGGUGGAGUACGAUCGCAAGAUUGAAACUUAAAGGAAUUGACGGUUUUGCACACCAUGAAGUGGAGCCUGUGGCUUAAUUUGACUCAACACUGGGAAACUUAUCAGGACAAAAAAGUUUUAGGAUUGACAGAUUGAUAGCUCUUUCUUGAUUGACUUAAUGGUGGUGCAUGGCCGUUCUUAGUUGGUGGAGUGAUUUGUCUGGUUAAUUCCGAUAACGAACGAGACCUUAACCUACUAACUAGUACGACGUGAACAACGUUAGUUACUUCUUAGAGGGACAAUGUGUUUUUAACACACGGAAGUUUAAGGCAAUAACAGGUCUGUGAUGCCCUUAAAUGUCCUGAGCCGCACACGCGCUACAAUGACACUUUCAAUAAGUAUUCGCUGGUCCGAAAGGAUCCUGGCUAAUCUUUUUAGUGAGUGUCGUGCUAGGGAUAGAUCUUUGCAAUUGUGGAUCUUGAACGAGGAAUUUCUAGUAAGCACAAGUCAUCAGCUUGUGCUGAUUACGUCCCUGCAAAAUGUACACAUCGCCCGUCGCUUGCUCCGAUUGAGUAAACUGGUGAGCCUUCC